CUGCGACUUCUGGCCGCACCUCAACCUCUGCCGCCGGAGAGCGCUGCUGCCACCGAAAACCGUCUGUGUAUGUUGGAAACUGCCGCCGGAACCCCUGUCUUCUUGGUUUGGGUUCCAAUAUUUGCGUGUCGAAAUUAAGGUUGUUAUUGAACCACCGGAGCUUUGGGGAGUGCCGGAGCUUCCGCCUGGUCGGUUUAGAGGGUCAUUGCUGCUUUGUUUCUCGUGAAAAGUGUUGUUACCGCGAUUCUUAAUGCCGCUAUUGAUAUUGUCUGAAAAUAAACAAGGUUGCUGCCGCUGCUGUAAAAUUGAAGAUAAAUAAAAGAGUAAUUGAUGAGUCUAACUACUGAGCUUUGACUAAAUCGAGGAACCGGAUGAAGAAGCAUUAAGAAGAGUUAAACUCCGUUUAGUUUUAUAUGUUGUAUUAAUUAGAUUAUUUUCUUCCCUCGUCUUUAUUUUUACAAUUUUUGCAAGAGGGAUAGGAGUUGUAUGAUUUAUAUAUAUUAUAUUAAAAGAUAUUAUGUAAGAAGCCUUGUAUAUGAAUCUAUGCCUGCUUGUUUUUUUUUUUUUAGGAUAAAGUAUUUCUUUUCUGGUUUUCAAAGAAAUCAGCGAUACGGUGUUAAGUCACAGGCUCCUAUUUUAAUAUUUAGUACGUAAAGUAGUCAUAAUACUUCUUGCUAUCAGAGUGGCGCAGCCGG